AAAGAUUUAGUUUAAAACAAAACAUUAAUUUGUCAAAUUAAAAAAGUUCAUUAAUGAACAAUCUUUA
rnacentral:tRNA from 1 species